rnacentral:rRNA from 1 species
UACGUAGGGCGCAAGCGUUGUCCGGAAUUAUUGGGCGUAAAGAGCUCGUAGGCGGUCUGUUGCGUCUGCCGUGAAAACCCGAGGCUUAACCUCGGGCCUGCGGUGGAUACGGGCAGACUAGAGGUAGGUAGGGGAGAAUGGAAUUCCCGGUGUAGCGGUGAAAUGCGCAGAUAUCAGGAGGAACACCGGUGGCGAAGGCGGGAUCCUGGGCCAGUACUGACGCUGAGGAGCGAAAGCGUGGGGAGCAAACAGG